rnacentral:lncRNA from 1 species
UUUAGUUAACAUUUUUCCUAGCAAUGACAUUUCCCAUGAUUGUUUCCCAGGGCACAUUAUAGUGCUUUAAAAGACCAGAGCCAAUGGUUUUUGUGGUCAUAUUACAAAGGCUCUCUGUUAGAAGGAAUAGUAGUUAGUAAAAGGGGUGUUAAUGAAGGCAGAAAACUCCAUCACGUUUUUGUCUGUGAAAAGAGAAAAGGGUAUCUUUUUUUAAACAAGUCUAUUUUAAAAUAGUGUGAUAUGUAACACCUUUACUAAGAGUCGUAAUUUGUUGGGACUCACUUGAAAUGUUAGACAUAACAGUUUCUUUCCUUGUUGAGAUAUAGUCCCACAAAGACUCUAGGUAGCAUUAAAUGUGGGGCAGUGAUCAGCAUGCUGUGGUGAUAUGCAAGGAUCAUCAAGUUCAGUGCCUGGACCACAGAAAAUAGACAGCAGGAAGCUGAUGCUAGAGAAGCAGAGGUGGGUAAGGAGGCAGAUAAGUGAGGAGAUGGUGUUUUGGACGAUGCUUAGAGGGCAUAUUAAAGGAACAAACAUGAAUAUAAAGAGCCCACUAACGAGGUUGCUAUAGGCAUCCUAAGGAUAGAAAUAUAGUCAGGACUAGGACAAUUGACCACAACAGUGAAAAAUGUAAGGAUGUAGAAUCAUCAUAAAUUACAGAAAAUGGAAGAAAAAGUGUUCCAUGACCCUAGUACUAAAAUACAACCACUAAAAUUUCCAUCAUAUGUUUUUAUAUAUUGAUGUAUUUGUAUUGUUAUGGGUAUAAUGAUCAUUUAUCUUAUACUAACAGAACCUAGGGAGAACUAUGAAGUAGGUAGUCUUUCUUUUCACAGUCUAGGGUUUUUUGUUUGUUUGUUUGGUUGGUUAGUUGGUUGAUUGGUUGGUGGUUUAUUUGUUUUGUUUUGUUUUGUUUUUGUGAUACGGCUUCUAUCCAUCACUUAGUUCUUGAUUUCUCUUCCUCAGGUUCUCAAUAUCUUCCUUUAAAUCCACCCACUUUAUCCAGCUCUGCCUUCUAGCUCCUUUAAUUCUUGUACCAUCAAUAAGGCAUCUUUCCAGAUACAGCAAUGGGAUAAAUAAUGCACCCCCCAAAGUAUCCACAUCCUACUAUGUGAAAAACAUUACCAAAUAAUCUUCCAUGACAAAAUGGAUUGUAAAGAUGACUUAGGAGUUGGAGAUUGCCCGGUAAAUUAUAAUUGGCUCAAUGUAACCACAAAAAGAUGGAAAAGGGAAGACAGAACAGACUUGUAUGAAUAUGGGAUAGAUUUGAGUUUGUGAUCAUAUUCUUUUAGAAGAUAUAGAAAGUAGCAUGAAUCAAGGAUUGUAGGUUCUCUCUUUUAUCUGCACAGGUAAGUGAGUUUAUUCUCUCCUAGAACUCCAGGAGGAAGAUAGCCUUAUCAACAAGCUAGUAUUAGCUCAUGAUACCCAAUUUGGGCAUAUGACUCAUAGGACUGUAAAAUAAACUUUUUGUUGCUUUAAUCCACACAUUUAAGCUAACUCAUCCUAACAACAAUAAGGAACCAUGACAAUUAUUUAUUGUAAAGAAUCUUAUGGGUUUACUUUUAAAUAGAUUAUUUAAUUAACAAAGUUUAAUUUAUUCUUUUUCUUAACUCAAAAGAAUUAACUUUUAUGUUGUAGUUUCAGGAACCAGUCUGGUGGGAGAGAUGUCUGAAACUGAAGGCAGGCAGGCAAAUGGCAUGUGUGUGAGAUGUG